rnacentral:rRNA from 1 species
UACGUAGGGUGCAAGCGUUGUCCGGAAUUAUUGGGCGUAAAGAGCUCGUAGGCGGUUUGUCGCGUCUGCUGUGAAAAUCCAGGGCUUAACCCUGGACCUGCAGUGGGUACGGGCAGACUAGAGUGCGGUAGGGGAGAUCGGAAUUCCUGGUGUAGCGGUGAAAUGCGCAGAUAUCAGGAGGAACACCGGUGGCGAAGGCGGGUCUCUGGGCCGUAACUGACGCUGAGGAGCGAAAGCGUGGGGAGCGAACAGG